rnacentral:rRNA from 1 species
CCUACGGGAGGCAGCAGUGGGGAAUAUUGCACAAUGGGGGAAACCCUGAUGCAGCGACGCCGCGUGAGUGAAGAAGUAAUUCGUUAUGUAAAGCUCUAUCAGCAGGGAAGAAAAUGACGGUACCUGAGUAAGAAGACCCGGCUAACUACGUGUCAGCAGCCGCGGUCAUACGUAGGGGGCAAGCGUUAUCCGGAUAUACUGGGUGAAAAGGGAGCGUAGACGGCAGUGCAAGUAUGGGGUGAAAGGCGGGGGCUCAACCCCCGGACAGCUCUGGAAACUAUACGGCUGGAGUGAGGGAGAGGUAAGUGGAAUUCCAAGUGUAGCGGUGAAAUGCGUAGAUAUAAGGAGGAACACCAGAGGCGAAGGCAGCUUACUGGGCUGUAACUGACGUUGAGGCACGAAAGCGUGGGGAGCAAACAGGAUUAGAUACCCCUGUAGUC